GGGGUCUAUGGGGUCUCUAUGGGGUCUCUAUGGGGUCUAUGGGGGUCCAUGGGGGUCUAUGGGGUCACUAUGGGGGUCUAUGGGGUCUAUGGGGCUCUAUGGGGGUUAUGGGGUCAUAUGGGGGGGUCUAUGGGGGUCUAUGGGGUCUCUACGGGGGUCUAUGGGGGUCUAUGGGGGUCUCUAUGGGGGUGUAUGGGGGUUAUGGGGUCAUAUGGGGGGUCUAUGGGGGUCUAUGGGGGUCUAUGGGGUUCUAUUGGAGUCUAUGGGGGUCUAUGGGGGUCUCUAUAGGGGUCUAUGGGGUUCUAUGGGGGUCUAUGGGGUCUGUAUGGGGUUCUUUAGGGUCUCUAUGGGGUCUCUAUGGGAGACUAUGGGGUUCCAUGGGGUCUCUAUGGGGUCUAUGGGGGUCUUUGGGGUCUCUAUUGGGGUCUAUGGGGAUCUAUGGGGUCUCUAUGGGUCUCUAUGGAUCCCUAUGGGGUCACUAUGCGUCUCUAUGGGGUCCCUAUGUGUCUCUAUGGGCCUCUAUGGGGUCUCUAUGGGGUCUCUAUGUGUCUCUAUGGGUCUCUAUGGGUCUCUAUGGAUCCCUAUGGUGUCUCUAUGGGUCUCUAUGUGUCUCUUUGGGGUCUCUAUGGGUCUCUACGGGUCUCUAUGGGGUCUGUGGGGUCUAUGGGGUCUCUAUGGGGUUCCUAUGGGGUCCCUAUGGGGUGUCUAUGGGUCUUUUUGUGUCUCUGUGGGGUCUUUAUGGGUCCCUAUGGUUCCCUAUGGGGUCUCAAUGGAUUCCUAUGGGGUCUCAAUGGAUUCCUAUGGGGUCUCUAUGUGUCUCUAUGGGGUCUCUAUGGUCUCUAUGGGGUCUCAAUGGAUCCCUAUGGGUCUCUAUGGGUCUCGCUGGAUCCCUACGGGGUCUCAAUGGAUCCCUAUGGGGUCUCUAUGGGUCUCUAUGGGUUUCUAUGGGGUCUCUAUGGGUCUCUAUGGGUCUCUGUGGAUUCCUAUGGGGUCUCUAUGUGUCUCUAUGGGGUCUCUAUGGAUCCCUAUGGGGUCUCUAUGGGUCUCUACGGGUUUCUAUGGGGUCUUUAUGGGUCUAUGUGUGUCUCUAUGGAUUCCUAUGGGGUCUCUAUGGGGUCUCUAUGUGUCUCUAUGGGUCUUUAUGUGUCUCUAUGGGGUCUCUAUGGAUCCCUAUGGGCUCUCUGUGUGUCUCUAUGGGUUCUAUGGGCUCUCUAUGGGGUCUCUAUGGGGUCUCUAUGGGUCUCUAUGGAUCCCUACGGGGUCUCUAUGGGUCUCUAUGGGUCUCUAUGGGUCUCAAUGGAUUCCUAUGGGGUCUCAGUGUGUAUGUAUGGGGUCUCUAUGGGGUCUGUAUGGAUUCCUAUGGGGUCUCUAUGUGUCUCUAUGGGGUCCUUAUGGGUCUCUAUGGUUCCCUAUGGGGUCUCAAUGGAUUCCUAUGGGGUCUCUAUGUGUCUCUAUGUCUCUCUAUGGGUCUCUAUGGGGCAGAGCCCUUUGAGCCCCCCCCAACCCCCCCCCAUUGCAGUUCCGGGCUCGUGGUCGCCGUGGGGUCCGUGGGGCGGCUGCUCGGUGACGUGUGGGGCCGGGAGGGAAAGCAGACGGAGGGGGUUCUGUGGGGCUCUAUGGGG
ensembl:lncRNA